rnacentral:rRNA from 1 species
UACGUAGGGAGCAAGCGUUGUCCGGAAUCAUUGGGCGUAAAGCGCGCGUAGGCGGCCUCAUAAGUCCGUUGUGAAAGUCAAAGGCUCAACCUUUGAAAGCCGAUGGAUACUGUGAGGCUAGAGUCCGGAAGAGGCGAGUGGAAUUCCUGGUGUAGCGGUGGAAUGCGCAGAUAUCAGGAGGAACACCAAUAGCGAAGGCAGCUCGCUGGGACGGUACUGACGCUAAGGCGCGAAAGCGUGGGGAGCGAAACAGG